UAGGGAAUCUUCCGCAAUGGACGAAAGUCUGACGGAGCAACGCCGCGUGAGUGAAGAAGGAUUUCGGUUCGUAAAACUCUGUUGUUAGGGAAGAAAAAAUGUAUAGUAACUAUAUACAAAAGAGACGGUACCUAACCAGAAAGCCACGGCUAACUACGUGCCAGCAGCCGCGGUAAUACGUAGGUGGCAAGCGUUGUCCGGAAUUAUUGGGCGUAAAGCGCGCGCAGGUGGUUUAGAAAGUCUGAUGUGAAAGCCCACGGCUCAACCGUGGAGGGUCAUUGGAAACUAAUAAACUUGAGUGCAGGAGAGAAAAGUGGAAUUCCUAGUGUAGCGGUGAAAUGCGUAGAGAUUAGGAGGAACACCGGUGGCGAAAGCGGCUUUUUGGCCUGCAACUGACACUGAGGCGCGAAAGCGUGUGGAGCAAACAGG
rnacentral:rRNA from 1 species